GUGGUCUCUUGCCAUACUGUGAUUGCAGGAAGAGCACAAAAUGGGGACCCUGAAGGGGCCUUCCACCAUUUCAUCCUCAUGAAGAAUGUCGGAUUGUUGCCAGACCAUGUAACCUUUAUUUCUUUAAUGGAGAAGUUAAUAUACAAUCUUUGACACCGAAAGCGAAGUUGCUAUUUUUAUGCCUCUGAAUCCAGGAAAUUAGAAGAACAGCAGCAACAGGAAGGUCCUGACUUCUCCCAU